GGGCGAGCACGAGGCUUCCGGCCCAGCUCCCCGCGUCCGCUCCGGCUCCCGCCGCGUUCCCGGCGCCGUCACUCCCGCCGCCCGCCGCCGCCGCCCGCCCCGCCCGCGCCUCCCCUCCGCGCGGGCCGCGCACCUGGCCGCCGCUCGGUCCUCGAGGCCCCGCGCUGCUGUCUCUGUCUCUGUGUCGGCUUCUCUCGGCCCCUCAGUCUCUCCGUCUCUGCGUUCUCAGACUCAGCUCCCUCUCGCUCCUCGCUUCCCCGCCGGGCUCUCGCCGGCCGUCUGGUGGCCCGAGGUGGCGGCGGGCCGGGCGCGGGACGCAAUGAGCGGUGCCUGCACGAGCUACGUGAGCGCAGAGCAGGAGGUGGUGCGCGGCUUCAGCUGCCCGCGGCCGGGGGGCGAGGCGGCCGCUGUCUUCUGCUGCGGCUUCCGCGACCACAAGUACUGCUGCGACGACCCGCACAGCUUCUUCCCCUACGAGCACAGCUACAUGUGGUGGCUCAGCAUUGGCGCUCUCGUGGGCCUGUCUGUAGCAGCAAUGGUCCUUCUCACCUUCAUUGUUACCGCCUGUGUGCUCUGCUACCUGUUCAUCAGCUCUAAGCCCCACACAAAGUUGGACCUGGGCUUGAGCUUACAGACAGCAGGACCUGUGCAGGUUGCCAGAAACAAGAGGAAUCAGACAGUUCUCGCCCUCAAGGGGCUCAUGUGGAGGACAAGGCAGGCACACAAAUGGCCAGGAGGCCCAGUGGUGGCCCUUCAUGGGGCUUUAGGGAGGAAGAAAUGAUGUCUAAGCUGAAUCAUCAAAGAUGACUCAAAGUUUCCAGCUGGUUCCUAACUUCCUGGCAACAACCACAAUUGUAAUUCAUUCCAGGAGAUUGACUGUCGUGGAGACAGAUCAUCACCCUCAUUACCACCAUCAUCAUCAUUGUCAUCGUCAUCAUUAUGUUGCUUUUAGCUCACUGGAGCCUCAUAGAAUGCUGUGAGCUUCUCUGUGUCAUAGCCCCGAUCAUACUGAGUUGUCAUUUUCUAUGUGUCCAUUUCCCCAUUAUGGACUUUAAUUCCAGGGCACGGACAGAUCUGCCAUAGAGGAGGCCUCAGCAAAUGUCAGCUACACGAAUGAGUGUGUGAAGCAAAGAAGCAGUGAACGUCUAGGAGACCAGCCCUUACCCCAACUCCUCCCCAUCUGUUCCUACUCUGAACUCCAGUCUCUGCCCUACCCCAGCUCUUGAAUUUAGCCUUUGGAUCAGGUUCUUCUGGUAAUGAAGCCUCACCUUUCCCCCGACUAACUCUGAUCUGGCCUCCCCUGCUCCUGAUUAACCUCAGGGAUCCUGAAUCUCCUUCAGCCUAACAGCUCCAGAAGCUGAACUCCAGCCCUAAGAGCUUCAGCUGCAGACAGGCCUCUGGCCAGGAGCUUAGUCAGGCUACCCUGACUAAGCCACAGGGUUGACAUGCCCUCUGGGCAGACCCUGAACCGGGCACUGAAGACACAGGAAUGGACAAGGUAGUCUACCCGAGUCCUGAGCCUGCAAGGCAGUUGAGACAGAUCUCGAAGGAGAGUGGGCACAGUCAGAAAGGAAGAAGUGGUUCAGUAUGAAAUAAAAGUGACACAAGCCCAUGUACCAGCAGCCAAUUGGAUCUUUUGUUUGUUUGUUUGUUUUUGAGAUGGGGCCUCUC